GGCUCAGAGCGAACGUUAGCGGCGGGCCUAACACAUGCAAGUCGAACGCGAAAGGUCUUCGGACUGAGUUGAGUGGCGCACGGGUGAGUAACACGUAGGUAAUCUACCCUUUGGCGGGGGAUAACGUUCCGAAAGGAGCGCUAAUACCGCAUAAGACCACGGAGUCUCCGGACGCUGUGGGAAAAGGUGGCCUCUUCUUGAAAGCUACCACCGAAGGAUGAGCCUGCGUCCCAUCAGCUAGUUGGUAAGGUAAUGGCUUACCAAGGCGAAGACGGGUAGCUGGUUUGAGAGAAUGAUCAGCCACACUGGCACUGGAACACGGGCCAGACUCCUACGGGAGGCAGCAGUGAGGAAUAUUGGGCAAUGGGCGAAAGCCUGACCCAGUCACGCCGCGUGAGUGAUGAAGGCCCUCGGGUCGUAAAGCUCUGUGGAGAGGGACGAAAACCCUGGUUUCAAAUAGGCUCCAGGCUUGACGGUACCUCUUUAGCAAGCACCGGCUAACUCUGUG
rnacentral:rRNA from 1 species